rnacentral:rRNA from 1 species
GAUGAACGCUGGCGGCGUGCCUAAUACAUGCAAGUCGAGCGAACAGACGAGGAGCUUGCUCCUCUGACGUUAGCGGCGGACGGGUGAGUAACACGUGGAUAACCUACCUAUAAGACUGGGAUAACUUCGGGAAACCGGAGCUAAUACCGGAUAAUAUAUUGAACCGCAUGGUUCAAUAGUGAAAGACGGUUUUGCUGUCACUUAUAGAUGGAUCCGCGCCGCAUUAGCUAGUUGGUAAGGUAACGGCUUACCAAGGCAACGAUGCGUAGCCGACCUGAGAGGGUGAUCGGCCACACUGGAACUGAGACACGGUCCAGACGCCUACGGGAGGCAGCAGUAGGGAAUCUUCCGCAAUGGGCGAAAGCCUGACGGAGCAACGCCGCGUGAGUGAUGACGGUCUUCGGAUCGUAAAACUCUGUUAUUAGGGAAGAACAAAUGUGUAAGUAACUAUGCACGUCUUGACGGUACCUAAUCAGAAAGCCACGGCUAACUACGUG